UGUAAUCUUCGAUCAACAAUAGUAACUAGAUUUCGGGUCGGUGCAUAAAAUCCGUCUCGUCAAAUAACAGCGCACUUGAAAUGUGAGCUCUUAUUUUGUUUAGUUCACUUCAAACACAGCCAAUGUCAACCCGUCUCACAAUACCGCAGUGUGUAUUCAAAAGUUGCAAAAAUAAGGCCCGAAAAAGCAAUUUAACGGCCGGAGUAUCUUACUUUCGCUUUCCUAGCAAUCACGUGUGCAGAAUGGAUCUCGAUUGUCGCCAGAGAAACAAGAGAUGACUUUUAUAAGCCAGCUAAGAACUCCGCUUAUUGACACUGGACAUCUUUGCCUUCCGUGCUCACGGCUACUGAAAUGUGGCCGAAACAUUGUAAUAAAAAUACCACGCUUGAAACCGUUUAAA